UGCCAAGAAGAUCUCUCUGUCUUCUGUAUAUACCCUGUAGAUCCGAAUUUGUGUAAGGAAUUUUGUGGUCACAAAUUCGUAUCUAGGGGAAUAUGUAGUUGACAUAAACACUCCGUUCAUUUU
rnacentral:precursor_RNA from 12 species